rnacentral:lncRNA from 1 species
UGGUAUCAUUUUCUCUAGUAAUUUCAUCCAACAUUUUAGCUAUAGCAGCUUCAUCGAAAAUAUAAUUUCUCACAUCAAAUAUAUCAUCGAUAUCAUCCGCUGCUGGUGGACUUUUGUCUGUCAUGUCUACUGGUUGAGUCCAUCCGCUCGAAUGCAUAGGAGGAUAUGGGGCCGCGACAAAGGGAGCAAAGAUUGGUUGGGUGAAGGAAGGCAUAGGCCUUAUCUCUCGUAGUGGAUGAAUCUCGGUUGAUCUCUCCAAUCUCCGCAAGUGAGUUCGAUGCCUCUGUAUACACAAGUAUGAUAUGGUUUUUCCUUGGUAAGAAAACUAACCUGAAUACCAAACAAGAGAGGUAGGAAAGAUCCUUGUAAACUCAUAAUAAAUAAGAUUUCUUCUUUCCAUUUUUCGAUGGCAUAAUGCAAUAAUUCAGAUAAUUCUGUAAGCAUCAAGCGUUUUUCUUGGAAACAAAUUAAUAUCAUCUCACUUGGAUCUAGAGUUUUGAUUGAUGGACCUCAACAUAGGGUUUUAUAUAGGAGUUUCUUAUCUAUAGACAAUCUAUUUUCCAUAUUCCUCGGCAAUUUUAAUGCUACAUUAGUGCAUGAUUGGUCAACAUAAUAAUACAGACAAUGAACAAGAAAAAAAAAAUGCACGAAAUUCAAAGAGCAGACAUCAGACCUGAAGGCGAUUUGAAACUUGAUUUAGGGUAAGACCCUCAACUCCCAUCAGCUCAUAUAUCCUGCUAGGAGGAGCACCUGCCAACAAAAAGGAGUGUUAGAUAAUGCAGAAAAGAUGAUGAGGCGAGCCUAAAAC